rnacentral:rRNA from 1 species
AAACUGAUCUCUCCGUGAAGAAGCGGGGAUAUUUACAUAAGACGAGAAGACCCCAUGGAGCUUUAAACCCGAUGUCACCCAUUUUCCUCUACACCCUAAUAUUCAAUUUGGCCCUGCCCUGUCGGUUUUAGGUUGGGGUGACCACGGAGUAUAAUAUACCCUCCAUGAAAAAGGGAGUAAUAAUCCUUAUUAGAGAACAACACUUCUAAAAAUUAAAACAUUAAUUUAUAAUGAUCCGAUAUUCGAUCAACGAACCAAGUUACCCUGGGGAUAACAGCGCAAUCUGCCUCAAGAGCCCCUAUCGACAGGCGGGUUUACGACCUCGAUGUUGGAUCAGGGCAUCCCAGUGGUGCAGCAGCUACUAAAGGUUCGUUUGUUCAACGAUUAAAACCCU